rnacentral:rRNA from 1 species
UGGGGAAUAUUGCACAAUGGGCACAAGCCUGAUGCAGCCAUGCCGCGUGUAUGAAGAAGGCCUUCGGGUUGUAAAGUACUUUCAGCGGGGAGGAAGGUGUUGUGGUUAAUAACCACAGCAAUUGACGUUACCCGCAGAAGAAGCACCGGCUAACUCCGUGCCAGCAGCCGCGGUAAUACGGAGGGUGCAAGCGUUAAUCGGAAUUACUGGGCGUAAAGCGCACGCAGGCGGUCUGUCAAGUCGGAUGUGAAAUCCCCGGGCUCAACCUGGGAACUGCAUCCGAAACUGGCAGGCUUGAGUCUUGUAGAGGGGGGUAGAAUUCCAGGUGUAGCGGUGAAAUGCGUAGAGAUCUGGAGGAAUACCGGUGGCGAAGGCGGCCCCCUGGACAAAGACUGACGCUCAGGUGCGAAAGCGUGGGGAGCAAACA